rnacentral:rRNA from 1 species
GUGGGGAAUAUUGGGCAAUGGAGGAAACUCUUACCCAGCAAUGCCGCGUGAAUGAAGAAGGUCUUCGGAUUGUAAAGUUCUUUAAUUGGGGACGAAAAAAAUGACGGUACCCAAGGAAUAAGCCCCGGCUAACUACGUGCCAGCAGCCGCGGUAAUACGUAGGGGGCAAGCGUUGUUCGGAAUGACUGGGCGUAAAGGGUGCGUAGGCGGUGUAGCAAGUUAGAAGUGAAAUACCUAGAGCUUAACUCAGGUGCUGCUUCUAAAACUGCUAUACUUGAGUGCAGUAGAGGAAAGUGGAAUUCCUAGUGUAGCGGUGGAAUGCGUAGAUAUUAGGAGGAACAUCAGUGGCGAAGGCGACUUUCUGGACUGUAACUGACGCUGAGGCACGAAAGUGUGGGGAGCAAACAGG